CGUGGGCUCGGCGGCAGUGAAGCCAGGGCUGAACUCUGGUGCCGGGGACAGAGCAGUGUGGUGUCAGGCGCUGCAGGACUGCAACGCCAAGACUGGGGGCCAGAUGCCCAAGCUAAGGGACCCAUGACUCCGCUGUGACCUUGGAACUUGUCCUUGGAAGGAGGAGGGGAGUUGACCGCAUAAGGAAGGGUGCGCUCCUGGGGUUAGGAUCUCUGAAGGCAAUGUGUGGACCCUCAGCAACCUGCCUCCUUCAUGGCUGAAGCUCUGGGACAUAGCUUGGGCCACCCCUGGGGAGCACUCCAGGCCACUGUCAGGUGUGAAGCACGAGCCAGCCCAGCCUCUGCCAUCAGCACCACCACAGACAGCUCAGAGUCAUGCAGGACACUUGAAGACCUGCACUGUUUCCGGCUGGGUCCAAGAACCCACUCUCACGCAGCUGCAGUCUGGCUGAGCCUCUCCCUCCAGGCCACCUCCUCAUCCUCCCUGUGUCCCCAUUUCUGGCAAGGAGGGAGCCACUCUCCUUGUGAUGAGGUCUGGAACUGGAGCUGUGAAAUCCCACCUUCCCUCCCUCCCUCCCUCCCUCCCUCCCUCCCUCCCUCCCUUCCUUCCUUCCUUCCUUCCUUCCUUCCUUCCUUCCUUCCUUCCUUUCACCUAUGCCCAAGAGUGUGACUUCCCAUUCUCAAGCAUCUGGUGCUAAUUCCAAUCCUCUUACUAGGACUCCUUAAAGGCUCUUGAGUUGGAGCUCUUGAAACAAAAACCCACCCCUCACUUCCCUGCUUCUGAUUCAUCUAACACGUUGCUUCUUCCAGGAAGUCCUCCAGCCACCACCUCACCCAGCCUAGUUUGGGUGUCCUGACUGUGCUCCCACAGCACAUUUAUAACGCAUGCUAUAAUGUACCUGCAACUGUAAGCUGGAGAGCUGCCACCCCUGGUCUGUGGGCCCUUGGAGGGCCGGGGCCUCAUCUUAUUCCUGCCGCACCCCAUGGUAGGUGUGCAACCCCCAUUUGUUUAGUGAAGAAGCAAGUGAACACAUUCUGUUGGGGGCACACACGGGUCUCAUUUGGAGCCCACUUGGUGCCCACCCAUGCGUCUUCCUCACAGGGCUGGGCAGAAGCCACAGUCCAUCCUGUCCUCUUGUCAUCAUCCCACUAAACACGAAACCUUGUCAUGGCUUAGGAGGGUCUCUCCCAGCAAACAUAAGGGUAUUGCUUGACGGACUGGCAUUUGGGGGAUCCCCUUGUUGAAACACAAGGCUGUGUGAAGUGGAGCCGCAGCGACCUGACAAGCAGGGGAAGCUCUCGCCUGCAUCGUUCCAGGAGGACACAGGGUGAGGAAG
rnacentral:lncRNA from 1 species